GGAGAGAUGGUCGAGCUGGUUUAAGGCACCGGUCUUGAAAACCGGCGUAGGUGUAAGCCUACCGUGAGUUCGAAUCUCACUCUCUCCGCCA
rnacentral:tRNA from 1 species